rnacentral:lncRNA from 1 species
AUUUCAAAAUGAAAAUCGAAUAACAACAAUAAAUAAGUAUCAAAUAAAGAAAAUAUAGAUUAACCUUAGGUUUAUAAACUUGUGAAAAAAAAAAUUAAAAAUUCUUCUUUAAAAUUCCUUCAACAAAAUUUGAUUUCCCCUUCAUCCCCGUCAAUUCACUUUCAUCACCCAUGGUUCGAGUCUCUAGUCAAUGGUGUCGUGUGGAUGGGGUCGUCAAUUGAUCGGUGAAUUGCCUUCUUCUUUUUAUGGGUGAAGCGAUUUCUUCUUUGCGUGGUAUUUUCUUUCUGUAAAUGACAGUUCUUUGAUCAGCUUGGACUAUUUUGGGUAGGUUUCCUCUUUGCAUGGGUAAUGCAGCUUCUUCUUCAUAUGGGCUAAAGGGAUUUUUUCUUCGCAUGAGGGGUGGUUAGGAUUUUCUCUAUAAUCUUUGAUAAGUAUUGUUGAAGUCAAAAAUUGCUACGUAUAAUAUUUGGCAAACUUUUUGAGUGAAAUGUGUAUUUUCUAUUGAUGAUACCGAUUACAAGUACAUUUUUCUUAUUGUCUAGCCAACAGGAGUUGUUUCCCAUUUUAUCAGGGGUUUUGGGUUUUGGAAUCAUGUCUUGUCAAUCAUAUUCACCACAUUGUUGAGCUAGGUUUAUGUGCCGCUGAUCUCUUCCUUGAAUGGUUUACGAGGCCGAUUCCAAUCAAAUCACAAUAAUAUCUCUUCUUGUCAGGAAAUCAUGACCUGUUUCUGGAUAAGGAUUUAUGGGUGGUUAAUUGGUUGGUAUGUGCGGUGCUAAACUUUUUUCAAGUGUGCUUGACUGAUUGGGUGAUUUGACAAGGCGUCAGAAAUCUAUAAUCAUGAUGUAUAUUGAUUUUACGGCUGCUGGGAGAUCGAGCCAAGCUCAAAAACUCGGACUAGCUUGUUGAUAAGGUAGGUGUGAAGCACGUUUUAAAUGAGAUCGGAGAUCGGUAGUCAACAUUUUCUCCCCAGGUUAGUACUUCCCUAAUGGACGGACUGACCUUUGGACUCGAUUGCCUUUGAAAAGCUAAAGCUUUAAUAGGAAUGCCAAGUGUCGCGAUCUGUCCUUUAUAAGCUGUCUUACAUCUUCGUUUCCUUCAUUUGAAAGUUUUGCCAUAACUACGUAGUUUUGGCUUGGUAAUCAGGGCCCUUCAUUUUCGCUUGUAGGGUAUCUUUUGGUUUGCCAUUACUUUAAAUAGUUUAGUUUUGGCUUGCUAAUCAGGGCCCUUCAUUUUCGCUUGUAGGGAAUCUUUUGGUUUUCCAUUACUUUAAAUAGUUUUUUCCCAUUUCAAUUAACCGCUUUACUUUUGCUUCUACUCUCUCUCAAGGAAAAGGAGAAACAUUUUAGUGCACCCCUUCCUUUUCUAUUUGAGGUCUUUCAUUCCUAAUUCCCAGGUAUUCCUCUUACCAGAAAGUGCCUUUAUUUCUUCUCAUUCUUUCAACUGGUUAUUAUAUGAGUUCUGACUAGUCUAGAGUACAUUAGUGGAGCAACCAAUAGGAAGAAUCUGUUCCUUUUUUAGUUCUUCUCUGAGCUAUCAGGAAAUCCUAACCCCUAUCCCUAUCUCCAUAGUUAACCUGAUCGAUUUAGGUUGUCCUACAAACAUGGAUCUAGAUUCAGAGGGUUCUGAAAGAGAGGAGAUUGGGUCGCACGAGGACAGUGAGAAGAAUAUUUUGAGGGGUGGGGGUGAGCUCGUAUAAGUCAAUGGUAACAGGGGACAUGUUGGUGAACUGGAGGGCAAAAUAUGAUAUCCCCAGCUCAAUAGAAAUGGUGAUUCCUGAACCUUUAGACCUAGCUAAUGCUCUCCCAGUGGGAUGCAUAGCUUUGAAUUCGGCAAUCCUGAAUGCCGAACUUAGACUCCCCUUUCCUAAGGUUCUCCAAAAAUUUUUGUCUUUUUUGGGGGGUAUAACUCCCACUUAGAUAUGUCCCAAUCGGUGGCGAACAUUAAUUGCCACAUUUAUUCUGAGGUAACUUUUGAGUGAUUCACUUCUCCCUUGCUUGAUGCUUAUCGAUCAUUCCUUGGGCAUGGUUUUGGCCUUGAACCCCAUGAAUUAUGCCGGGAAUGUCGUGGCUAGGUCUUUCCAAUUUUUUUACAGACCUUUCGUACAUCCUUCUAAACCACUUUUGAGCCUUGUCUCCCAAGGUUAAGGGAAAAGCACGACACAUAAUAGCAUCACUUGCUCCUUGCAGUUUCAUCCAUGAAGUGUAUUUAUCUUGAUGACUAAGGGGAUCUCCUUUCUCUUCGUACGCAACUAGCUAUGGUAUCUUUAAUUUUUUAGGUAAAUGUUCGAUAAGGAUGCCUUCUGUGAAGGGAGAAUGGGGCUUUGCAAGAUACUCCUCCAUCACUUCUGGCCUCCAAAUUAGCAAUAUGUCUUUCCAGAAUGCCUAGUUUAGGCUCUACUUGUUCAAGUGGACGGUUUAGGUUAAGUUGACAGGCGCCCUUUGGGGCAUUUAGGAGUGCUAAGAGUCUAACCUAUUGAAUACACGUCGGCCUUCCUGGUGAUUGACUCUGUCAUUGGAGGGGGCUUCUAACCUCUUCAGUUCGACUUUCAGUGGAUUCUCCUUCGAAAGUUGAGGGAUCUCCUUAUGAGGAGUUGCCUGGCCCUUCCCCUAGCGGAAGAUCCCACCUUGGUAUCAAGUAGGGAAACGUGGGUCUGAUUUUGUUUCUCCCUACUAACUACAUUUGUCAACCUCUCAGUGGCUUCUCUCAUGGCAGUUAUUUGGAAGUUACCUAUUUCAGUUUGGUCUUGCUUUUCCAGAAAUUGUGUGAAGGUACAGUUUCAUUGGGAUGAGUGUAAGACUAGUUCUUCGAGGUGCAACCGCUUCUCAUAGCUUCUGUUUGAUUGUUGUUUUGGGGAAAGAGUGGGGCUGUUCUUGCACAAUAAGGGCCCUUCUUCUAGCCCCAAACUGUUGAAGUCAGAAAUUACUAUUUAUAAUUUUUGGCAAACUCUUUGAGUGAAAUGUAUAUUUUCUAAUGAUGAUACCGAUUACAAGCCCAUUUUUCUUUUUGUCUAGCGAGCCAGCAAGAGCAGUUCUCCCUUUUAUAGGGGGUUAUUUUUCUGGAGUUAUGUCUUGUCAAUCAUAUUUACCACAGUGCUGAGCUAGAUUUAUAUGCCAUCGAUUUCUUCCUUGAUUGGUUUACAAGGCCGAUUCCAAUCAAGCCACAAUAAUAUCUCUUAUUGUUAGGAAAUCAUGACUUGUUUCUGGAUAAGGAUUUAUGGUGGUUAAUUGAUGGGUUUGGGUGGUGCUAAUGAAAGGGUGGCAAUCAGGCUCAUCGGCUAGACUAGAAAAAAGCCCAUGUUAGCCCGACUCGAGGCUUGGUUGGGGCGCCGGCCUGAGCAAGAUGCGGCUUAGGCUUACGAGCCUUUAUAUUAAAAAAAAUUAAAAUUAGAAAAACACAGUUUAAAGGCAGUAGGCUAUGCUGCCUUUAAAAGGAAGGAAAAAAGUAAGCCUACACGACUCGGCUUAGCUCAGCAAGGCUCUAGCCAAAAGCUCAGCUUGGCUCGGACUCGCAAAAAAUCUCGGACCAUUUUACUUGAACUGAGCCUAAGCUUCGAGUUUCAGCUUGACUCGUUGACACCAUUAUGCUGACAUCACUUUUUUCAAGUGUGCCUAACUGAUUGGGUGAUUUGACAAAGCGUUACGAAUUUGUAAUCAUGAUGUCUAUCGAUUUUACGAUGGCUGCGAGACUGAGUCGAGCUCGAAAACUUGGAAUGGUGAGUUGAUGAGGUAGGUGUGAAGUAUGUUUUAAAUGAGAUUGGAGAUCGGUGGUCAACAA